rnacentral:rRNA from 1 species
AUGGCCUCUUGAUACUUAGAUAGGAGGUCGGACCUGCCCACUGAAUUGAUUUUAAAGGGCUGCAGUAAUUUGACUGUACAAAGGUAGCAUAAUCAUUAGUCUUUUAAUUGUGGACUGGUAUGAACGGUUUGACGGGGUUUACACUGUCUCUGGUGUAUUAAAUGAAUUUCUCUUUCACAGAAAAGGGUGUGGAUAAGAAUAAGGGACGAGAAGACCCUAUUAAACUUUAUGAGACUAUAGGACUAAGUGGGUAGUACAUAACUCAGUGGUUUUUAGUUAUUAUUUUACUGGGGCGGUGAGUAUAGAACGAUAUUGUAAUACGAUGAAGAUUGUUAGAGAAGGUGUGAUCCAUAAUGAGCGUGAAUCAAGAAGAAGUUACUGUAGGGAUAACAGCGUAAUAUAUUUUGAGAGUUCAUAUUGACAAAUAUGUUUGCGA